UGUGAACUCGAAGAGUAGGGCGGGACACGUGGUAUCCUGUCUGAAUAUGGGGGGACCAUCCUCCAAGGCUAAAUACUCCUGACUGACCGAUAGUGAACCAGUACCGUGAGGGAAAGGCGAAAAGAACCCCGGCGAGGGGAGUGAAAAAGAACCUGAAACCGUGUACGUACAAGCAGUGGGAGCACCUUCGGGUGUGACUGCGUACCUUUUGUAUAAUGGGUCAGCGACUUAUAUUCUGUAGCAAGGUUAACCGUAUAGGGGAGCCGCAGGGAAACCGAGUCUUAACUGGGCGUUAAGUUGCAGGGUAUAGACCCGAAACCCGGUGAUCUAGCCAUGGGCAGGUUGAAGGUUGGGUAACACUAACUGGAGGACCGAACCGACUAAUGUUGAAAAAUUAGCGGAUGACUUGUGGCUGGGGGUGAAAGGCCAAUCAAACCGGGAGAUAGCUGGUUCUCCCCGAAAGCUAUUUAGGUAGCGCCUCGUGAACUCAUCUUCGGGGGUAGAGCACUGUUUCGGCUAGGGGGUCAUCCCGACUUACCAACCCGAUGCAAACUACGAAUACCGAAGAAUGUUAUCACGGGAGACACACGGCGGGUGCUAACGUCCGUCGUGAAGAGGGAAACAACCCAGACCGCCAGCUAAGGUCCCAAAGUCAUGGUUAAGUGGGAAACGAUGUGGGAAGGCACAGACAGCCAGGAUGUUGGCUUAGAAGCAGCCAUCAUUUAAAGAAAGCGUAAUAGCUCACUGGUCGAGUCGGCCUGCGCGGAAGAUGUAACGGGGCUAAACCAUGCACCGAAGCUGCGGCAGCGACACUAUGUGUUGUUGGGUAGGGGAGCGUUCUGUAAGCCUGCGAAGGUGUGCUGUGAGGCAUGCUGGAGGUAUCAGAAGUGCGAAUGCUGACAUAAGUAACGAUAAAGCGGGUGAAAAGCCCGCUCGCCGGAAGACCAAGGGUUCCUGUCCAACGUUAAUCGGGGCAGGGUGAGUCGACCCCUAAGGCGAGGCCGAAAGGCGUAGUCGAUGGGAAACAGGUUAAUAUUCCUGUACUUGGUGUUACUGCGAAGGGGGGACGGAGAAGGCUAUGUUAGCCGGGCGACGGUUGUCCCGGUUUAAGCAUGUAGGCUGGUUGUCCAGGCAAAUCCGGAUAAUCAAGGCUGAGGUGUGAUGACGAGGCACUACGGUGCUGAAGUAACAAAUGCCCUGCUUCCAGGAAAAGCCUCUAAGCAUCAGGUAACAU
rnacentral:rRNA from 1 species